CAGCAGCCACGGGAAUACGUAGGGUGCGAGCGUUAAUCGGAAUUACUGGGCGUAAAGCGUGCGCAGGCGGUUCGUUAAGACAGAUGUGAAAUCCCCGGGCUUAACCUGGGAACUGCAUUUGUGACUGGCGAGCUAGAGUAUGGCAGAGGGGGGUAGAAUUCCACGUGUAGCAGUGAAAUGCGUAGAGAUGUGGAGGAAUACCGAUGGCGAAGGCAGCCCCCUGGGCCAAUACUGACGCUCAUGCACGAAAGCGUGGGGAGCAAACAGGAUUAGAGACCCGUGUAGUCCCUGUCUCUUAUAC
rnacentral:rRNA from 1 species